CCUCACCAGAGCACAGUAGAGGGGGAAGAUUGCCUCCCUCGGAUUGCUGGCCAUGCUCUUCGUGAUGAACCCUAGGAUAACACUCGCCUUUUUGGCCACAAGGACGCAAGGAAUGCAUUGAAACCAGAACCCACCCAUGUCAGAGACAAGCCUUGGGCAUACUGAGAUAUUAUGUACACCUUCCUGCUUUACAUGUCCUGCCUGGCAAUUGAGUGGUUCUCCCACAUGAAGAGGACAACAGUGAACAGUUAAGCAGUGAAAUCCAUCAGGCUGAGGAGCAAAAUAUUUUGGGUGCAUCAUGG
rnacentral:lncRNA from 1 species